GGACACGUGGGUGAGUGGCUGAAACCACCGGUUUGCUAAACCGGCAUACGGAGAUUAUCCGUAUCGAGGGUUCGAAUCCCUCCGUGUCCG
rnacentral:tRNA from 1 species